GAAAGCCGUAUGAGGGAAAACCUCACGUACGGUUUGAUGAGGAGGGGCUGAAAAAAAACUUCAGCCCUUUACUCUAGU
rnacentral:ncRNA from 2 species